rnacentral:rRNA from 1 species
UAUGAAUGGCCACACGAGGGCUUUACUGUCUCUUACUUCCAAUCCGUGAAAUUGACCUUCCCGUGAAGAGGCGGGAAUAUAAUAAUAAGACGAGAAGACCCUAUGGAGCUUUAAUUAACCGACCCAAAGAGACCCCAAUAAUUAACCGACAGGAACAACAAAUCUCUACAUGGGCCGGCAAUUUAGGUUGGGGUGACCUCGGAGAAUAAAACAACCUCCGAGUGAUUUAAAUCUAGACUAACCAGUCGAAAGUAUUACAUCACUUAUUGAUCCAAAACUUGAUCAACGGAACAAGUUACCCUAGGGAUAACAGCGCAAUCCUAUUUUAGAGUCCAUAUCGACAAUAGGGUUUACGACCUCGAUG